ensembl:lncRNA
CCGGGCUCUCCUUCUCCUGGUUGUGCGUCUUCUACGUGGAUCGGUCUCCUCCAGCCAAGGGUCUGUGCGCCCCCUCCUCUUCUCAGACUCCUCUGCCCUCGCCCCUCCCUCUCACAUUCCCAACUCCCAAGGACAACUUGUCGCUCACUUCAGAAGCUGGGGCUUCUUUCCGUCCCCAGACUCUGCCUUCUCCCCUACUUCUUUUGUCUAUUUCUGCGUUUGACGGCUUCUCUGGGAAGCAUGCCUCGGAUCUGUUUCUCUCUUGUCUGUUAUCUCUCUCUCUUUCUCUCUCUCUCUCUCUCUCUCUCUCACACACACACACACACACACGCACGCACACACACACACCCUCUCUCUCCUCUCUGCCGGCCAUCUCGGCGCCUUUCCUCCGUGGCUCUGGCCUUUCAGAAGGCGUAAGGCCCUUUCUUUGAGCCGCGGUGAGGUGGUCCGACGGCGCCCCGGGGAGGGGGCAGGUGAGAUUGGCGGGAGCCCCGCCCGGGCGGACGCGGAGGAAGGUGGCGCCCGCGCCAAUCCGUCGCUUGGGCCCUGUGCUCGCCCCCAUCUCGCUGGCGCCAGGGGGACGGAGGACGCAGGAGUCUCUUCGCGCUCCAGGGCCGUCGGCGCCGCCGCCCCAGACCUAGACACUGCGCCCAGAGGCCUCUCAGGGACGGGGACGCGGCCGACGACCCGGAGCAGCCCGGCCCCCGGCCCCCGGCGCCAUCACCACGGUCCCUAGGCUCUGUCGCGCCCAAAGCCUCGGGCUCCUGCAGCCUGUGAAGACGCGCGGAGGACGGCGCGGUUCGGAGAGAGGGCGCCAAAGGCGACGCGCCAAAGGCGACGCGACGGCGGCCAGCUCCAGGCCGAGCCCUGCGUGUCUGAAGGAAGCGGCCCCUCCGCCGGCGCAGGACACAGAGCUGCGAGAGGAUCUCGUUCAGCGGGGACUCAACGCCAGGGCGCCGCCUAGAGGUCGGCCGCGGCCUCAGCCUCACACGCCAGCGACCGCUGAGCUGCUUCCCCAGCCGGAGCCAGAAAUUGCAAAAAAAAAUUAAUCCAGCUCGGGUCUCAGGGACGCAGCUUCUGGCACCUCUACUUCUCUGAGAUCCAACCCCCCAACAACAAUGAAGCCUAGGAAAGGAGACGGGCCAGGAAGGCUCAGAAACUUUUAUUCUUGGAAAGGGGUCUCAAUUUCGGUUUUUGUUUUGUUUUGAGGAUCCUGUGUUCUCCAUCUGUGUCUUCAUUGCCUCCUCUCAUCAUCCAAAUUGUCCAGCCCCCUCCAAUUAUGCUACAACUCUGUUUUAUCUUCAAGGAGGGAAGGAAGUAGGGAAAAGUUACCCCUAAAUCUUACAGCUUGGUCAUCUGCAUUUUCAGUUUUCUGAAUAAUUUGGAGAUCGGUGUGCUUUUGGAAGAGUAUCCAGAAAACUGUUGAGGGUGAAAAGAAACGUUGCCUAAGUGGCCUUUACUCAGAGUGAUCAUCAGCUCGAUAAUAUCUGAGUGACAUUCAGGAGGGGGCUUGUUGGCACGAGUGCCUCUGUCGGACAUGAGGGGAUGUAAACCGUUUGAAGUUCAUCAACAUGGUGAAGUUUUAUUGUCUUUCCGGUCCCCAAGAUUUAUACCCGGGAGGGGGCGCGGGCGGCCGGGCAGACUCCUUCGCUCCCUCGGACUUCCCCGCCGGACACGUGGCCACUCGGACACUCGCCUCCGGGGCGAGGGCGGGAGGGAGCCGGCCGGCCGGGGACGGGGAGGCUCGCGCCGCACCUUCCGACGGUCGCUCCCGCCCGGCCCGCCGCCGCCGCCGCCGCCGCCGCUGUCCAGGUAAAGCCAACAGCAGACUCCAUGCGUCUGGCAAAUCGAGAACAGGUGCCUGGCCUUAACUGUGAUUCAUUCGCUCUGUGCCCAGCUAUCUCGCUGGCGAGUCCGGGGAGCUCCCUCGACGUUCCCAAGAGUCCAACUGCUACUUAGAAGAAUUUGCAUCAGACUUUUGUUUCUCUACUUGGGUCCCAUGGAAAAAGCAGAUCUUCACGCUGUUUGGUUCCUGAUCUGCCCGGCUGUCGCCCUCCGAGAGCUGGGAUGGAAAGGGAGGGGGCCGUCUGGGCGCCGGCAUUGAUCUUUAAAAAAUCAUUUUGAAAUCGCCAUAAUGUGAAGAAAUAUGGCGCUUCACCCUCGUAUUUCACACGUAAUGACAUGAGAUGGCUUCAUUUGGAAAGAAAAGCGGGCGGGAGUGUGUCUGUGCGUGUGCGGAGGUGAUCCUCAGCCUUCUGCAUGGCAGAGGGGUACACGGCCCAAAAGAUAAAACCUCGAAUUAGAAUGGCCCCGCUUUUGUUAAAA